GAAGCACUGGUUGUACCACCAACCACCAUGGGAGAUCUCAGCGCAGAUGUUCCCACUGUCUGGUGUACUGAAGCCCUGCUUGUCGUGGUACCAGCUGAAGGAGUCCUGCGCCGAGCCGCUGAAGCCUGACACGUGCAGACGGGCGUGUUUGUACUUGUUGCUCCAGUCCUCCAGGUUUAUGCGGAGGCUGUAGUCCCCCUGGGUGCUCAGGUCGUGUAUGUGGUCGUUGCCCAGCCAGAACUCCGAGUGAAGGUCACCAAAGCCGUCCCUGUAGUCCCUCCAGCUGCGGUCGAAGCUCACCGAGCCGUCAACCCGCCGCUGGAUCACAGUCCAGCCACCACCUGAGGCGGAAACAAGACAACAUGGCAGUGGGGGAGGAUGUCUCACGAGCUCAUCUCUGCUCAUCUGAGCGCCACAGGUAUCUUAGUCCCAUAAUCCACCUCUAAGAGGAUUCACCGUAACUACAGGAUGGAGAGAGGCAGACAAAUAGGGAAGCAGUUCAAAAAAUGAGUGAGACACUAGAGGAAAUGCUGAAAAAAGGUGUAUUUUUAUAUUUCUUUAUAUCUACAGGUGUCUAAGAAUGUUAUGACAAAUACAUAUUCGAAAAUCUAUUAUUUAAUAUAAUAUUGUACAUAAUGUAUAUUUAUGUAUUUGUAUUUGAAAUUAGCCGUCAGCAAGAAAUAUCCAUGUUUCCUUGGAUGAAACUGUUCCAUCUUUGUACAUCUUGGUUCUAAAGCUUUGAGAUUUGAAGUGAUUAUGGAUUUUGGACAACUGACAGAAAAAAGGGAGAAGGUGUAGUUUUC